GACAGAGGGGGCAAGCGUUGUCCGGAAUUACUGGGCGUAAAGCGUGCGCAGGCGGUUCGUGAUGUCUGGUGUGAAAGCCCCGGGCUUAACCUGGGAAUUGCAUUGGAAACUAGCGGGCUGGAGUGUGGCAGAGGGGGGUGGAAUUCCACGUGUAGCAGUGAAAUGCGUAGAGAUGUGGGGGAACACCGAUGGCGAAGGCAGCCCCCUGGGCUAACACUGACGCUCAUGCACGAAAGCGUGGGGAGCAAACAGG
rnacentral:rRNA from 1 species